rnacentral:misc_RNA from 1 species
UCGUAACAAGGUUUCCGUAGGUGAACCUGCGGAAGGAUCAUUCACAAGAUUAUAAUAUUUUAUUACUUUGUGGAAAAUUUGGUUGAAUUUACAUGUUUUAUUACAAAAAAUUAAUUAUAAUUAAAAAAAUAAUUUUAAGAAAACCUCCAACAACGGAUCUCUUGGUUCCCAGAUCGAUGAAGAGCGCAGCGAAUUGCGAAAUGUGAUGUGUAUUGCAGUGAAUCAUCAAUUCUUGAACGCACAUGGCACCCCUUUUAGGGGUAUGCUUGUAUGAGGGUGUUUAAUAUGAAAUUGCUUUGGCUUUUUUUAAAUAAAUGGUUUUUCAAACAUUGUUACUAAUAAAGAUGAAAGAAUCAGUGCAACAAGCUGUGUUGAAUCUUUCAAUUAAAAUCUUUUUUAGUUAACAUUUUUUAACUAUUUACGCCUCAUAUCAAGCAAGACUACCCGCUGAACUUAAGCAUAUCAAUAAGCGGAGGA